ACGAACGCUGGCGGCGUGCUUAACACAUGCAAGUCGAACGGAAAGGCCCUGCUUUUGUGGGGUGCUCGAGUGGCGAACGGGUGAGUAACACGUGAGUAACCUGCCCUUGACUUUGGGAUAACUUCAGGAAACUGGGGCUAAUACCGGAUAGGAGCUCCUGCUGCAUGGUGGGGGUUGGAAAGUUUCGGCGGUUGGGGAUGGACUCGCGGCUUAUCAGCUUGUUGGUGGGGUAGUGGCUUACCAAGGCUUUGACGGGUAGCCGGCCUGAGAGGGUGACCGGCCACAUUGGGACUGGGAUACGGCCCAGACUCCUACGGGAGGCAGCAGUGGGGAAUAUUGCACAAUGGGCGGAAGCCUGAUGCGGCAACGCCGCGUGCGGGAUGACGGCCUUCGGGUUGUAAACCGCUUUCGCCUGUGACGAAGCGUGAGUGACGGUAAUGGGUAAAGAAGCACCGGCUAACUACGUG
rnacentral:rRNA from 1 species